AGCGUACACGGUGGAUGCCCUGGCAGUCAGAGGCGAUGAAGGACGUGCUAAUCUGCGAAAAGCGUCGGUAAGGUGAUAUGAACCGUUAUAACCGGCGAUGUCCGAAUGGGGAAACCCAGUGUGAUUCGUCACACUAUCGUUAACUGAAUACAUAGGUUAACGAGGCGAACCGGGGGAACUGAAACAUCUAAGUACCCCGAGGAAAAGAAAUCAACCGAGAUUCCCCCAGUAGCGGCGAGCGAACGGGGAGCAGCCCAGAGUCUGAAUCAGCUUGUGUGUUAGUGGAACGGUCUGGAAAGUCCGACGGUACAGGGUGAUAGUCCCGUACACCAAAAUGCACAGGCUGUGAACUCGAAGAGUAGGGCGGGACACGUGGUAUCCUGUCUGAAUAUGGGGGGACCAUCCUCCAAGGCUAAAUACUCCUGACUGACCGAUAGUGAACCAGUACCGUGAGGGAAAGGCGAAAAGAACCCCGGCGAGGGGAGUGAAAAAGAACCUGAAACCGUGUACGUACAAGCAGUGGGAGCACCUUCGGGUGUGACUGCGUACCUUUUGUAUAAUGGGUCAGCGACUUAUAUUCUGUAGCAAGGUUAACCGUAUAGGGGAGCCGCAGGGAAACCGAGUCUUAACUGGGCGUUAAGUUGCAGGGUAUAGACCCGAAACCCGGUGAUCUAGCCAUGGGCAGGUUGAAGGUUGGGUAACACUAACUGGAGGACCGAACCGACUAAUGUUGAAAAAUUAGCGGAUGACUUGUGGCUGGGGGUGAAAGGCCAAUCAAACCGGGAGAUAGCUGGUUCUCCCCGAAAGCUAUUUAGGUAGCGCCUCGUGAACUCAUCUUCGGGGGUAGAGCACUGUUUCGGCUAGGGGGUCAUCCCGACUUACCAACCCGAUGCAAACUACGAAUACCGAAGAAUGUUAUCACGGGAGACACACGGCGGGUGCUAACGUCCGUCGUGAAGAGGGAAACAACCCAGACCGCCAGCUAAGGUCCCAAAGUCAUGGUUAAGUGGGAAACGAUGUGGGAAGGCACAGACAGCCAGGAUGUUGGCUUAGAAGCAGCCAUCAUUUAAAGAAAGCGUAAUAGCUCACUGGUCGAGUCGGCCUGCGCGGAAGAUGUAACGGGGCUAAACCAUGCACCGAAGCUGCGGCAGCGACACUAUGUGUUGUUGGGUAGGGGAGCGUUCUGUAAGCCUGCGAAGGUGACCUGUGAGGGUUGCUGGAGGUAUCAGAAGUGCGAAUGCUGACAUAAGUAACGAUAAAGCGGGUGAAAAGCCCGCUCGCCGGAAGACCAAGGGUUCCUGUCCAACGUUAAUCGGGGCAGGGUGAGUCGACCCCUAAGGCGAGGCCGAAAGGCGUAGUCGAUGGGAAACAGGUUAAUAUUCCUGUACUUGGUGUUACUGCGAAGGGGGGACGGAGAAGGCUAUGUUAGCCGGGCGACGGUUGUCCCGGUUUAAGCAUGUAGGCUGGUUGUCCAGGCAAAUCCGGAUAAUCAAGGCUGAGGUGUGAUGACGAGGCACUACGGUGCUGAAGUAACAAAUGCCCUGCUUCCAGGAAAAGCCUCUAAGCAUCAGGUAACAUUAAAUCGUACCCCAAACCGACACAGGUGGUCAGGUAGAGAAUACCAAGGCGCUUGAGAGAACUCGGGUGAAGGAACUAGGCAAAAUGGUGCCGUAACUUCGGGAGAAGGCACGCUGGUGUGUAGGUGAAGUCCCUGCGGAUGGAGCUGAGACCAGUCGAAGAUACCAGCUGGCUGCAACUGUUUAUUAAAAACACAGCACUGUGCAAACACGAAAGUGGACGUAUACGGUGUGACGCCUGCCCGGUGCCGGAAGGUUAAUUGAUGGGGUUAUCCGUAAGGAGAAGCUCUUGAUCGAAGCCCCGGUAAACGGCGGCCGUAACUAUAACGGUCCUAAGGUAGCGAAAUUCCUUGUCGGGUAAGUUCCGACCUGCACGAAUGGCGUAAUGAUGGCCAGGCUGUCUCCACCCGAGACUCAGUGAAAUUGAACUCGCUGUGAAGAUGCAGUGUACCCGCGGCAAGACGGAAAGACCCCGUGAACCUUUACUAUAGCUUGACACUGAACAUUGAGCCUUGAUGUGUAGGAUAGGUGGGAGGCUUUGAAGCGUGGACGCCAGUCUGCGUGGAGCCAACCUUGAAAUACCACCCUUUAAUGUUUGAUGUUCUAACGUUGGCCCCUUACCGGGGUUGCGGACAGUGUCUGGUGGGUAGUUUGACUGGGGCGGUCUCCUCCCAAAGCGUAACGGAGGAGCACGAAGGUUAGCUAAUCCUGGUCGGACAUCAGGAGGUUAGUGCAAUGGCAUAAGCUAGCUUGACUGCGAGCGUGACGGCGCGAGCAGGUGCGAAAGCAGGUCAUAGUGAUCCGGUGGUUCUGAAUGGAAGGGCCAUCGCUCAACGGAUAAAAGGUACUCCGGGGAUAACAGGCUGAUACCGCCCAAGAGUUCAUAUCGACGGCGGUGUUUGGCACCUCGAUGUCGGCUCAUCACAUCCUGGGGCUGAAGUAGGUCCCAAGGGUAUGGCUGUUCGCCAUUUAAAGUGGUACGCGAGCUGGGUUUAGAACGUCGUGAGACAGUUCGGUCCCUAUCUGCCGUGGGCGCUGGAGAAUUGAGGGGGGCUGCUCCUAGUACGAGAGGACCGGAGUGGACGCAUCACUGGUGUUCGGGUUGUCAUGCCAAUGGCACUGCCCGGUAGCUAAAUGCGGAAGAGAUAAGUGCUGAAAGCAUCUAAGCACGAAACUUGCCCCGAGAUGAGUUCU
rnacentral:rRNA from 1 species